AGAGCGAACGCUGGCGGCAGGCUUAACACAUGCAAGUCGAACGCCCGGGCAACCGGGAGUGGCAGACGGGUGAGUAACACGUGGGAACAUGCCCUUCGGUUCGGAAUAACUCGGGGAAACUCGUGCUAAUACCGGAUACGUCCGUAAGGAGAAAGAUUUAUCGCCGAAGGAUUGGCCCGCGUCCGAUUAGCUAGUUGGUGGGGUAAAGGCCCACCAAGGCGACGAUCGGUAGCUGGUCUGAGAGGAUGAUCAGCCACACUGGGACUGAGACACGGCCCAGGACUCCUACGGGAGGCAGCAGUGGGGAAUAUUGGACAAUGGGCGCAAGCCUGAUCCAGCCAUGCCGCGUGAGUGAUGAAGGCCCUAGGGUUGUAAAGCUCUUUCGGCGGGAAGAUAAUGACGGUACCCGCAGAAGAAGCCCCGGCUAACUUCGUGCCAGCAGCCGC
rnacentral:rRNA from 1 species